CCUACGGGAGGCAGCAGUGAGGAAUAUUGGUCAAUGGACGAGAGUCUGAACCAACCAAGUAGCGUGAAGGAUGACUGCCCUAUGGGUUGUAAACUUCUUUUAUAUGGGAAUAAAAUGUUCCACGUGUGGGAUUUUGUAUGUACCAUAUGAAUAAGGAUCGGCUAACUCCGUGCCAGCAGCCGCGGUAAUACGGAGGAUCCGAGCGUUAUCCGGAUUUAUUGGGUUUAAAGGGAGCGUAGGUGGAUUGUUAAGUCAGUUGUGAAAGUUUGCGGCGCAACCGUAAAAUUGCAGUUGAAACUGGCAGUCUUGAGUACAGUAGAGGUGGGCGGAAUUCGUGGUGUAGCGGUGAAAUGCUUAGAUAUCACGAAGAACUCCGAUUGCGAAGGCAGUUCACUGGACUGCAACUGACACUGAGGCUCGAAAGUGUGGGUAUCAAACAGGAUUAGAUACCCCAGUAGUC
rnacentral:rRNA from 1 species